AUUGAACGCUGGCGGCAGGCCUAACACAUGCAAGUCGAGCGAGCGGCGGACGGGUGAGGAAUGUAUGGGGACUGCCCGAUAGAGGGGGAUAACUACUGGAAACGGUGGCUAAUAGCGCAUACUAUCGGAUAACCCAUAUGGGAUUAGCUAGUAGGUGGGGUAAAGGCUCACCUAGGCGACGAUCUCUAGCUGGUCGGAGAGGAUGAUCAGCGACGCUGCGACUGAGACACGGCCCAGACGCGUACGGAGGCAGCCGUGGGGAAGAUUGCGCAAUGGGCGCUAGCCUGAUGCAGCCAUGCCGCGUGUAUGAAGAAGUACUUAGGGUUUUAAAGUACUUUCAGCUGGGCGGCGUUCCCCUCUGAUGCAGCACCGGCUAACUCUGUGCCAGCAGCCGCGGUAAUAC
rnacentral:rRNA from 1 species